rnacentral:rRNA from 1 species
GAUGAACGCUAGCUACAGGCUUAACACAUGCAAGUCGAGGGGCAGCACUAGGUAGCAAUACUGAGGUGGCGACCGGCGCACGGGUGCGUAACGCGUAUCCAACCUUCCCGUUACUCAGGGAUAGCCUUCCGAAAGGGAGAUUAAUACCUGAUGGUGUUCAAAUUCCGCAUGUUAUUUGAACUAAAGAUUUAUCGGUAACGGAUGGGGAUGCGUGACAUUAGGUAGAUGGCGGGUAACGGCCACAUGCCUACGAUGUCUAGGGGUUCUGAGAGGAAGGUCCCCCACACUGGAACUGAGACACGGUCCAAAACUCCUACGGGAGGCAGCAGUGAGGAAUAUUGGUCAAUGGACGAAAGUCUGAACCAGCCAAGUUCGCGUGAAGGAUGAAGGUUCUAUGGAUUGUAAAACUUCUUUUGUCUGAGGGUAAAAAAGCGGACGUGUCCGUUCUUGCAAGUAUCAGACGAAUAAGCAUCGGCUAACUCCGUGCCAGCAGCCGCGGU